rnacentral:rRNA from 1 species
CCUACGGGAGGCAGCAGUGGGGAAUAUUGGACAAUGGGGGAAACCCUUAUCCAGCCAUGCCGCGUGAGUGAUGAAGGCCCUAGGGUUGUAAAGCUCUUUCGUGCGGGAAGAUAAUGACGGUACCGCAAGAAGAAGCCCCGGCUAACUUCGUGCCAGCAGCCGCGGUAAU